rnacentral:rRNA from 1 species
UACGGAGGGUGCAAGCGUUAUCCGGAUUCACUGGGUUUAAAGGGUGCGUAGGCGGGCAGGUAAGCCCGUGGUGAAAUCUCUGAGCUUAACUCAGAAACUGCCAUGGAUACUAUUUGUCUUGAAUGUUGUGGAGGUAAGCGGAAUAUGUCAUGUAGCGGUGAAAUGCUUAGAUAUGACAUAGAACACCAAUUGCGAAGGCAGCUUACUACACAAAUAUUGACGCUGAGGCACGAAAGCGUGGGGAUCAAACAGG